rnacentral:rRNA from 1 species
UACGUAGGGUGCGAGCGUUGUCCGGAAUUACUGGGCGUAAAGAGCUCGUAGGUGGUUUGUCGCGUUGUUCGUGAAAACUCACAGCUUAACUGUGGGCGUGCGGGCGAUACGGGCAGACUGGAGUACUGCAGGGGAGACUGGAAUUCCUGGUGUAGCGGUGGAAUGCGCAGAUAUCAGGAGGAACACCGGUGGCGAAGGUGGUUCUCUGGGCCUGUACUGACGCUGAGGAGCGAAAGCGUGGGGAGCAAACAGG